rnacentral:lncRNA from 1 species
ACAUCAACCACAAAAAUAACAACAACAUCAACGACAACCACGACGACGAAGACGACGACGACGGCAAGAACUACAACAACAACAACAACAACGACGACGACGACGACUACGACGACGACGACGACGACAACUACGACAAAGACAACAAUGACCGGUACAACGAAUACUACAAUAAUAACAACAACGACAAUAGCGACAGCAAUGACAACAAGAACAUCAACAACAAAGACGACGACGACGACAACUACAACAACAACAACAACAACAACAAUAACAACAACAACAACAACGAUGACGACGACGACAACAACAACAACAACAACAACAACGAUAACAGCGACAACAAUG